rnacentral:rRNA from 1 species
AACGAACGUUAGCGGCGCGCCUAACACAUGCAAGUCGCACGAGAAAGGGCUUCGGCCCCGGUAAAGUGGCGCACGGGUGAGUAACACGUGGGUAACCUGCCCUCGAGCGGGGGAUAACAUUCCGAAAGGAGUGCUAAUACCGCAUAAGACCACGACCUCGAAAGAGGAUGGGGUAAAAGCUGGCCUCUGUACACAAGCUAGCACUUGAGGAUGGGCCCGCGGCGCAUCAGCUAGUUGGUGGGGUAAUGGCCCACCAAGGCUAAGACGCGUAGCUGGUCUGAGAGGAUGAUCAGCCACACUGGAACUGAGACACGGUCCAGACUCCUACGGGAGGCAGCAGUGGGGAAUCUUGCGCAAUGGGCGAAAGCCUGACGCAGCGACGCCGCGUGAGUGAUGAAGGCCUUCGGGUUGUAAAGCUCUGUGGGGAGAGACGAAUAAGUGCAGCCUAAUACGUUGCAUGAUGACGGUAUCUCCUUAGCAAGCACCGGCUAACUCUGUGCCAGCCGCCGCCGUAACAC